GCAGUAGAGCAGAGAUGUGACCAGGUAGGUGCGUCCGAUCACCGAAGUUAAGCAAUGUCGGGCCCGGUCAGUACUUGGGAGGGUGGCCUGUCGACCCA